ACGCUGGCGGCGCGCUUAACACAUGCAAGUCGAGCGAGAAAGGGGGCAACCCUGAAGUAAAGCGGCGUACGGGUGAGUAACACAUGGAUAAUCUACCUCCGAGUGGGGAAUAACUCUGGGAAACCGGAGCUAAUACCGCAUAAGCCUGGGAAGGGAAAGCAGCAAUGCGCUGGGAGAGGAGUCCGCGGCCGAUUAGCUAGUUGGUAGGGUAACGGCCUACCAAGGCGACGAUCGGUAGCCGGCCUGAGAGGGCACACGGCCACACUGGCACUGAAACACGGGCCAGACUCCUACGGGAGGCAGCAGUGGGGAAUCUUGCACAAUGGAGGCAACUCUGAUGCAGCGACGCCGCGUGAGCGAUGAAGCCCUUCGGGGUGUAAAGCUCUUUCGACGGGGACGAUAAUGACGGUACCCGGAGAAGAAGCUGCGGCUAACUACGUGCCAGCAGCCGCGGUAAUACGUAGGCAGCGAGCGUUGUUCGGAAUUACUGGGCGUAAAGAGUGUGUAGGCGGUGCUCUAAGUUCGGUGUGAAAUCUCCUGGCUUAACUGGGAGGGUGCGCCGGAAACUGGAGUGCUUGA
rnacentral:rRNA from 1 species